GGCUGGAGUGGGAAUAACAUCACCGUGGCUACUGUCAGGGAGGCUGGAGUGGGAAUAACAUCACCGUGGCUACUGUCAAGGAGGCUGGAGUGGGAAUAACGCCACCGUGGCUACUGUCAGGGAGGCUGGAGUGGGAAUAACAUCACCGUGGCUACUGUCAAGGACGCUGGAGUGGGAAUAACGCCACCGUGGCUACUGUCAGGGAGGCUGGAGUGGGAAUAAAGCCACAAUAGCUACUGUUGAGGUCGACGCUUUUGAAUCCAAAUCAUGAAUCCAAAUCUUGAAUUAUGAAUAGUAAUAAUAAUAAUAACAAUAAAAUUAUUUGCGACCACUGUCAGCCUCAGAGUUAUCUCUGAGUUACCAGACCUUGCCACGUGGAGGCCAGUGGUUCGUCUUUAAGGUCCCCCCCCCCUCGCCUUCCCCAGGUUCAUGUGUCCAGGAAUCCAUCCGUGGGCCCCCGGAUGUCUCCCCUUUCUCACUUCCCUAAGGUCAGCCUCGCCUCUCUCUCUCUCUCUCUCUCUCUCUGCCUUCCAGCCUCAGCCUUCCCCAGGUUCAUGUGUCCAGGAAUCCAUCCGUUCGCUCCCGGAUGUCUCCCCUUCCCCACUUACCCAAGGUCAGCCUCAACUGCAUGUAUUCAUGCCUUCCCCAGGUUCAUGUAUCCAGGAAUCCAUCCGCUCGCUCCGGAUGUCUCCCCUUCCCCACUUACACAAGGUCAGCCUCAACCACAACCUUCCCCAAGUUUAUGAAUCCAGGAAUCCAUCCGCUCGCUCCCGGAUGUCUUCCCUUCCCCACUUACCUAAGGUCGGCGGUGCCUUCCCCGGAUCAGUGUCUCCAGGAGUCUACUUGUGUCACCUGAGUGGACUCCCUUCCCCACUUCCUCAGAGUCAGCGGUAUUCUUGCUUUCCUUAGGAUCAUGUAUCCAGGAAUCCAUCCGUCUACCGCCGGAUGUCUCCCCUUCCCCACUUACCCAAGGUCAGCCUCAACCACAACCUUCCCCAAGUUUAUGAAUCCAGGAAUCCAUCCGCUCGCUCCCGGAUGUCUUCCCUUCCCCACUUACCUAAGGUCGGCGGUGCCUUCCCCGGAUCAGUGUCUCCAGGAGUCCACUUGUGUCACCUGAGUGGACUCCCUUCCCCACUUCCUCUGAGUCAGCGGUAUUCUUGCUUUCCUUAGGAUCAUGUAUCCAGGAAUCCAUCCGUCUACCGCCGGAUGUCUCCCCUUCCCCACUUUCCCAAGGUCAGCCUCAACUGCAUGUAUUCUUGCCUUCCCCAGGUUCAUGUAUCCAGGAAUCCAUCCGCUCGCUCCGGAUGUCUCCCCUUCACCACUUACACAAGGUCAGCCUCAACUGCAUGUAUUCAUGACUUCCCCAGGAUCAUGUAUCCAGGAAUCCUUCCGUCUACCGCCGGAUAUCUUCCCUUCCCCACUUACCCAAGGUCAGCCUCAACUGCAUGUAUUCAUGCCUUCCCCAGGAUCAUGUAUCCAGGAAUCCUUCCGUCUACCGCCGGAUAUCUUCCCUUAACCACUUACCCAAGGUCAGCCUCAACUGCAUGUAUUCAUGCCUUCCCCAGGUUCAUGUAUCCAGGAAUCCAUCCGCUCGCUGCCGGAUGUCUCCCCUUCCCCACUUACACAAGGUCAGCCUCAACCACAACCUUCCCCAAGUUUAUGAAUCCAGGAAUCCAUCCGCUCGCUCCGGAUGUCUUCCGUUUCCCACUUACCUAAGGUCGGCGGUGCCUUCCCCGGAUCAGUGUGUCCAGGAGUCUACUUGUGUCACCUGAGUGGACUCCCUUUCCCACUUCCCCAGAAUCAGCGGUGCCUUCCCCGGAUCAGUGUCUCCAGGAGUCCACUUAUGUCACCUCAGGUGGACUCCCUUCCCCACUUCCCCAGAGUCAGCGGUGCCUUCCCCGGAUCAGUGUGUCCAGGAGUCUACUUGUGUCACCUGAGUGGACUCCCUUCCCCACUUCCCCAGAGUCAGCGGUGCCUUCCCCGGAUCAGUGUCUCCAGGAGUCCACUUAUGUCACCUCAGGUGGACUCCCUUCCCCACUUCCCCAGAGUCAGCGGUUGCCACCUUCAGUGACCUCGCUGCAUGGAAACUUGGUCUUGUCUAGCUGGUCUACGGUAGAGACUGUCCAGGUGGGUGGAAUUACUGGAGGUGACACACACAGAAAACUGCGUCCAGUAAUUACAUCCACCAAGACAGCCGCGACCGUAGGUCAGCUAGACGCCACCAAGCUGCCUCACAGUUCCGCCACCUCGGAGAGGCUAAUUAACGUAAAUUUUGGAAAUCCUUUUAUAUUACAGUAUGAAUUUAGUCUAAGUACGAGAUUUUCUUGCUUAUUUAUCAGUUUAAAAGUAUUUGUAAGUGUUUUAUUUUAUGUAGAUGAAUGUCCAAGUGUUGAAGAACUUUUCCACCUCCAUCAAAACUGUAUUAAAUAUUACACUGUUUUCAUUUUUAUUUAUUUAUUGGUCAUUUUCAUAUGACAUUGAAAGACUAACAAGCGCACAAACAUACACAUAUAUAUGUAUUUUUACAUUCAUUUAUACGUUAGUUUACGGUAUUUUGACGACAUUCUUCGUCACACGGCUGUUAUAGCCAUAUAUAAAAGUACAUAAUAUUAAUUUAAAUGAUUGGAACCGAAAAAGUAAAUUAUCUCACAAACUAAUUUUAUUAAUAAAUUCGGAACCUUCUACUAACCUUAA